GUCGGGCGGAGCAGUUUCUUUUCGGCUAGGUGGGGUGGGUGCAUUUUGUCAACCGGUUGAGUCUAUGAUACAAACCAGUCGCACCUUUUGAAUGGUAGCCGCAUACAGUUCCAAAGGCUUGGUGUCAGUCUGGAUCCAACCUUGAAAGGAGUUGAGGAUGGUGAAGAAAUGGAGGAGCCUAGGAGCAGAGGUCCGUGGCUGAAGAAAGCAAAAGCCCAGGUGAUGCCAAGCAGAAGGAACAGGCCGAGAAUGGAGAAAGCGUUUGUCUUGGUGGAGCUGUUGUACUGAGAUGUCCCUGCUGAUGGCUUAAGGAGAACAAUCUGUGCACUGUCAUGAUGAAUAUAUGACAAAGCAACGAGCCGCUCCCUCCAACAACACUGUGAGAUUCCUGAGUAUGAAGCUCUCUACAAAUGAUGCUGAGCCUGGACUUACCACCACAUUUGCUCUGCUGAUCGCUGUUUGUACGUUCCAAAAACAUUCCAAGGAAAAACAUUAUAUGAAUUAUGAUCAGAACGUACACGGACUAAUGAUGUUUCCUUUAGCCUCCGUGUCCACCAUUUAAAAAUGUUUUUGGAAACCAUAAACAGCACGUUCAUUGAAUUAGAAUUAGAAUAACGAGCGGACUGUAGAGGGCUGAAACAUGUAAG